GUGAGCUUUUACGCGGACAAACGGCUGUUCGACGGAGAAAUUGAACGUUUUCAACGGCACCUACCCCGAUGGAAAUCCUGCGACGGAUGGAAGACUGACUGUAGGGAGCAGUAAAGGAUCUGGUGGAUCAGAGGAUUUCAUGGGGAUCUGAGCUGUGGACUCUGGCUGCCUACAGAGGAUCUGUUGACGUCAUCUGCACGCGAAGCUCCGGACCAACAAAAUGGACACAUACAUUGUGGUUAUAACAGUUAGGGUCUCCGGCUGACCCACAUCACUCGCCAUCUUUACGACACAUCCCCGCCA